rnacentral:rRNA from 1 species
AUUGAACGCUGGCGGCAUGCUUUACACAUGCAAGUCGAACGGUAACAGGCCGCAAGGUGCUGACGAGUGGCGAACGGGUGAGUAAUGCAUCGGAACGUGCCCAGUCGUGGGGGAUAACGCAGCGAAAGUUGCGCUAAUACCGCAUACGAUCUAUGGAUGAAAGCGGGGGACCGUAAGGCCUCGCGCGAUUGGAGCGGCCGAUGUCAGAUUAGGUAGUUGGUGGGGUAAAGGCUCACCAAGCCGACGAUCUGUAGCUGGUCUGAGAGGACGACCAGCCACACUGGGACUGAGACACGGCCCAGACUCCUACGGGAGGCAGCAGUGGGGAAUUUUGGACAAUGGGCGCAAGCCUGAUCCAGCAAUGCCGCGUGCAGGAAGAAGGCCCUCGGGUUGUAAACUGCUUUUGUACGGAACGAAACGGUCCUGGUUAAUACCCGGGGCUAAUGACGGUACCGUAAGAAUAAGCACCGGCUAACUACGUGCCAGCCGCCGCCGUAAAAC